rnacentral:rRNA from 1 species
CCGGCGACCGCGACGCGGUGNUAACGCGUAUGCAACCUGCCCGUUUCAGCGGGAUAACCCGGAGAAAUCCGGCCUAAUACCGCAUGUGGCCGAGGGGAGGCAUCUUCUUUCGGCCAAAGGAGGCGACUCCGGAGACGGAUGGGCAUGCGUGACAUUAGCUUGUUGGCGGGGUAACGGCCCACCAAGGCGACGAUGUCUAGGGGUUCUGAGAGGAAGGUCCCCCACACUGGUACUGAGACACGGACCAGACUCCUACGGGAGGCAGCAG